UUUCAACAAAUGUGUAUUGCACAAUUACUAUGUCAUACAUCUUGUUAAAAUGUCAGUCUCCACGGUAACCCUUUGAGGUAGAUAUUAUUCAUCUUCAUUUUACAGAGGAGGCACUGAGACUCAGGAAGUUCACAUGACUUACCAGCUGUGCCUGGGGUAAGUUGCAGAGACUAGUUUUUGUUUUGUUUUGUUUGUUUGAGACAGAGUCUCACGCAGCUGCCCAGGCUGGAGUGCAGUGGCGCAAUCUCGGUUCACAGCAACCACUGUCUCCUGGGUUCAAGCAAUUCUCCCAUCUCAGCCUCCUGAGUAGCUAAGAUUACAGGCACCCACCAUCAUACCCAGCUAAUUUUUGUAUUUUAGUAGAGAUGGGGUUUCACCAUGUUGGCCACUGGUCUUAAACUCCUGACCUCAGGUGAUCUGCCCACCUCGGCCUCCCAAAGUGCUAGGAUUACAGGCAUGAGCCAUGGCGCCAGCUUUUUUUUUUUUUUUUUUCUUCUAAGAAAUGGAGUCUUGGCCAGGCGCAGUGGCACAUGCCUGUAAUCCCAGCACUUUGGAAGGCCAAGGUGGGUGGAUCACCUGAGGUCAGGAGUUUGAGACCAGCCUGGCUAACAUGUGAAACCCCGUCUCUACUGAAAAUGCAAAAAUUAGUAGGGCAUGGUGGCGUGCACCUGUAAUCCCAGCUACUCAGGAGGCUGAGGCAGGAGAAUUGCUUGAACCUGGGAGGCAGAGGUUGCAGUGAGCUGAGAUGGCGCCACUGUACUCCACCCUUAGUGACAGAGUGAGACCCUGUCUCAAAAAAAAUAAAAGAAAGAAAUGAAGUCUUGCUCUGUUGCCCAGACUGUAGUACAGUGGCACAAUCAUAGCUCACUGUAGCCUUGAACUCCUGGGCUCAAGCAGUCCUCCCACCUCAGCCUCCCAAGUGGCUGGGACCACAGGCACGAUGUGCCACUAUGCCUGGUUCAUUUUUUUUUUUUUUUUUUGUAGAGAUAGGAUUUCACUAUCUCUAGAUAGUGAUAUCCUAGAUAUCUAGAUAUCGCUAGAUAGCCUGUUGCUCAGGCUGGUCUGAAC
rnacentral:lncRNA from 10 species